GUCCCGCUGCAAAGCUUUCUCUGGUCCUUCUGGGAUCAUCAUCUAGGUAUCAUUGCCUGCCAGACUUCCAUCAUCUCUUGUCAGUCACCGCGGUUGCCUCGUCCACCAGACGCUGUAGUCUCCUUCCGUGGUAUAGUCACCGGCCCUGGAGCAGUGCUAAACCUCCGUGGGGUUCUUCAGGCAGAUUCUCUCCUUUGGAAUGACCCAAAGGCAACAAGAGGAAUUUUUUUAAAUUACAGGCUCCAUUAACUGCGUAGCAAAGACACACACGAAAAACUUCCUCACCUAAUGGAGCAGGAGGUGUUACCACUGCAGCCGGGGGGCCCACAGGGACUGUUCUCCGAGGAGGAGAAGAGCAAAAGUGGAAGACACUGAAGACAAAGACAGC
rnacentral:lncRNA from 1 species